ACACAUAGUUGCCCGAGAGAGACGCAGCGCCAUCUUGGUCCCCACACCAGUUUGCUCUGUGCUUGCCGCCGUGAGCCGUGCAGCGGAAUCGCGUUUAAUCAUCGUCUAGGCAGCGUCGAAGGCUGUGGAAACGUGUUAAAUGCGGUCAGCGAAGCCUGAGGAGCAAAAAUGCCUGGUUGUUGCGUACCUCUGUGCACUAACCACUGCAGGAAGGGCGUGCGAAUGUUUCGCUUCCCAACCAGCCCGAGCCGAAGAAAACGCUGGCUCGCGCAAGUGAAGCGAGACUGCUGGGAGCCCACCACCGCUUCACGUGUUUGCUAUGCUCAUUUCGAAGAUUCAAGCUUCGAACAGAAAAGGCAAGAUGGCUUGAAGAAAUUGAGGCCAGAUGCCGUUCCAACAGUUUUUGCUUUUCGAGCCGCCCCCAAACAUCGGAAGCCACCAAAGAAGCGCAGCUGUCCUGUGCAGCCUUCCUGCGAUGCCAC